rnacentral:rRNA from 1 species
GUAAAGCCCUUUUGUUGGGAAAGAAAUCCAGCCGGCUAAUACCUGGUUGGGAUGACGGUACCCAAAGAAUAAGCACCGGCUAACUUCGUGCCAGCAGCCGCGGUAAUACGAAGGGUGCAAGCGUUACUCGGAAUUACUGGGCGUAAAGCGUGCGUAGGUGGUUAUUUAAGUCCGUUGUGAAAGCCCUGAGCUCAACCUGGGAACUGCAGUGGAUACUGGAUGACUAGAAUGUGGUAGAGGGUAGCGGAAUUCCUGGUGUAGCAGUGAAAUGCGUAGAGAUCAGGAGGAACAUCCAUGGCGAAGGCAGCUACCUGGACCAACAUUGACACUGAGGCACGAAAGCGUGGGGAGCAAACAGGAUUAGAUACCCUGGUAGUCCACGCCCUAAACGAUGCGAACUGGAUGUUGGGUGCAAUUUGGCACGCAGUAUCGAAGCUAACGCGUUAAGUUCGCCGCCUGGGGAGUACGGUCGCAAGACUGAAACUCAAAGGAAUUGACGG